GAAAUAGGACCUGUAGUGAAGAUAAAAGGAAGAACGAGAAGAAGAGACGGAAGAGAGGAAAAGGGCCAAAGCCCAGAAGAUUCGGCGGCGCCGGCGCUCCCUCUCUCCUUGCAUUAGAAGAGCACACGAAGCCACACCCAAAGGAAUCCGCCACCUGCAGAUCUCAGACAUGCCACGACGGAAGGGGAAUCGACAAGCAGGUCAUAGAGGACGUUGGUCGGAUUCCUACCCGCAAAAAAGAAAAAAUUGUGGGUCGGAUUCCUCAGAAGAUUCUGAUGGUCCUCCUCAGUCUGUAUUUGUCAAAUAUGAUUCAGACAAUGCAGCGGAUACCAAAGCCGAACAUAAAUACUUUGGGGCUGUGUUUAGCAUUUGCAAAUCCAUUGUAUCCCUCGCCUCUACCAGUGAUGGAAGGCAUCUGUAUCUUGCUCAGGGACAGUGGUUGAUCAUGUGGGGUCAGAAACGUGGAUACUUACCUCUGCUACUUUGGUCAGAAAACCUGGAACUCAGUAUGAGGCGUAUAAAGAUGGUGAAGUUAAGAUUAAAGUGGUUCUGCAUAAUGAAGAAAUUGCUGAAGGUACCCUAGCACUGUGCCAUUUGCAUUAUAAUCUCGCCAUCGUGAAGAUUAUAUCUCCAAUAGAUAUUCCUGCAGUGGAACUCAGGGACACCCCUGAAUGUUCUUCCAUGCAGCCUAGGCCUGUAGUUGCUCUAGGCCGCAAUAUCUGGUCAGAAUUUCUGAUGAGAAAUGGGGAGCUGAUCCGUGCAAAUUGUGAAUUAGACUGCAAUGAGCUUUUGGUCUGUACAUGUGACCUUAAUGAGGAUUUCAUUGGGGGCCCUGUCAUGGAUUUGGAGGACAGAAUCCUUGGCAUCACUUUUUUCUACAAGGAAACUGCUCCAUUCUUGCCGGUUGAAAUCGCAGCGAGAUGCCUGGAUUACUUCAAGAAAUUCAAGGAAGAACUGCCAUGGCUUCACAUAAGGGGACACGCUAUCCACAUGCUGGACCUACCUGUUCUGGAGAACAUGUGCUGCAAAUUUGCUAAGCUGCCUUCUGGAAUUCUGGUAGAGAAGAUAUGUGGCGUAUCACCAGAAAAUUGUGGAGGGAUUAAGGUUGGCGAUGUCAUCUCAGAACUUGAUGGAGUUGUUCUUUCCUCUGUAGCACAGUUUACUUCAAUGUUUCUUGAUAAAAUGGACAUUGCAGUGGGUACAAGAAUACGGUGACACUCCAGGCAUUUGUACAAAGACCCACGGAUCAGACUACAUUUGUGUCAAACCUGAACGCAUGGGAGGUUUCCUCUAAUAAAUGCGAUGAGACAUUCCAAAACAGAUGGGCAUUGAGGAGAAAGAAGCUAUGCGAUGGUUUAUGUGAGCACUAAGCAGUUGUAGUGACGACAAUCUGGAGGUAAUGCAAGUACAUCCUUAGAUAAUGGUGGAAUGGGUGGAGGAGCAUGUUGCACAGUAGUUUCUUCCUUUUCUUUUGGUGCAAAACCACAAAAAAAGGGUAAGAAAUAGUCAAAAGUCCUAGGACAAAGCAAAUUAUAUAUAUGGUGCAAAACCACAAAAAAAGGUGAGCAUUGGUGCAAGACCCAGAUGCUUACAUUAUGGCCUGGACAUUCUCCAUUGCUUUAUUGCCUUCUACUACUAAGUCUUUUCGAUUUUUCCUCUGUGCUGGAAAAAAAUGGCAUUGGUUAAUGCUGGUGAAGCUUCUUUUUUUGCUCUUCAAACUUCUAAAAUUUCAUCAAGUAUCGCUGUUAAUUGUUUGUAAGAAACAAGAAGAAAAACAUCGUACUACUAUUACCUAAAGUUGUAUGGUUGUCUCACACCACCCCACUCAACUUGCUUGGGACUUAAAAGGUGAUGUUGUUGUUGUUGUUGUUAGGAGAAUUUUAUUAGGAUGGAUGAAAAUUAGACGCACCGAGCAACACCAUGACGGGGAGAUCCAAGGAAUGACAGGGGCAAAUUUUUGUAUAUAUAUAUAUACUAAUUGUAUAAAUACUAUAAUAAGAAUUGUAUAUAUACUUAGAAUUGUA